GAUGAAGAACGUAGCGAAAUGCGAUAAGUAAUGUGAAUUGCAGAAUUCAGUGAAUCAUCGAAUCUUUGAACGCACAUUGCGCCCGCUAGUAUUCUGGCGGGCAUGCCUGUUCGAGCGUCAUUUCAACCAUCAAGCCCUGUUUAGGCUUGUGUUGGGGCCCUGCGGCUGCCGCAGCCCCCUAAAUGCAGUGGCGGGCUCGUUGUCACUCCGAGCGCAGUAGCGUAUCUCGCUCUGGGCGUGGCGGCGGGUGCUAGCCGUGAAACACCCACUAAGGUUGACCUCGGAUCAGGUAGGAAUACCCGCUGAACUUAAGCAUAUCAAUAAGCGGAAGA
rnacentral:misc_RNA from 1 species